rnacentral:lncRNA from 1 species
UUUUUUUUUUUUUUUUUUUUUUUUUUGGCUGUGCCUUCAGCAUGUAGCAAUUCCUCGGCCAGGGAUUGAACCUGCAUUGUAGCAGUGACCUGAGCCACAGCAGUGACAACACCAGUUUCUUAACCCUCUAGCCAAUUUUUUAAUGGUACUAUUUGUCAUUAAUGAAGGUAUGGAGAAAACCUCUCAUUUUUGGUAGAAAUGUUAAUUGGCACAGCACCCUUAGAGGACAAACGGCAUAUCUAGCCAAAUUUUAAUAUGCAUUCCCUUUCACCAAAUGAGCACACAUUGAGUAUUGGUAGAUUAACCAUAGAUAUGAAUCCAGUACUGAUGAAUGGGGCAAAAAGAAAACUCUCUCUGACCUCAUCCCAAAGGAAUUUUAAAUUUUAUAUAUAUAUAUAUAUACACAUUUUUUUUUUUUUUUUUUUGGUCACACACAGCAUAGGGAAGUUCCUUGGCCAAGGCUUGAACCUGUGCCACAUCAGUGACCUGAGCCACAACAGUGAUGACAUCAAUUCCCCAAAUGCUAGGCCACCAGGAAACUCCAAUAAGAUAUCUGUUUUAUGCAUUUAUACCAUUUUACAUUCUCAAUAACAGUGCACAAGUGUUCUAAUUUCUCUGCAUCCUCACCAUGACAUUGCGAUUUUUAAUAAGAAAUGUAUAUUUGCAUUCUUCCCCUUUUCUGGCACAGAACUCCUAAAACCUGAAGCGUUUCCUAGGAGAUGAGAGCAGGAUGGGGUCUUUUGUUGUGUUUACAAGAUGACUUUUGGACUCCACCUGAGGAUGGGGACUUGACGCCACUGAAGCCAGCCAUGUGACUAGAGAGAUGGAACGCUCAGCCUCACCACCUCUCCGUCCACCUCUGUCCAAGGAAGGGAAGGGUCUGGAGGUGGAAUGGAUUGGCCACAGCCAUCGACUCAAUCAAUCAUGCUUAUAUAAUGAAGGCUCCAUAAAAAGCCAGUUGGGUGGAGCUGAGAGGAAAGUGGCACACUCGGCCCCCAUAUCUUGUUCUAUGCAUCUCUUCCAUCUGGCUGUUCCUGAGUUAGAUCUUUUUGUAAUAAACUGUUAAUCAAGUAAGUCAAUGUUUCUUUGAGUUCUGUGAGCCUGAGCCACUCUAGCAAAGUAAUGGAAUCUGGUCAGGUGUUAGAACUUCUCAUCUACAGCUGGUGGGUCAGAGACAGAGGUGACAACAUGGACUUGCAACUGGUGUCUGAAGUCGGGGUGGGAGGCGGGGUCAAUCUUGUGAGACUGAAACCUCAACCUGUGGGAGGUGGAUAGAUGCUGUCAGAAUUGAGUUAAUUGCUUAAUGGUGGUAGGGGACCCCUCUCCGCAUUGAAAUUGUGAGCAGAACAUUUUACUCACAAACCCUUGUUAUUGUAUGGGUUCUGGGUUCUGGGUUUUGGAUGUGUUUUUUUGUUUGUUUGUUUGUUUUGUUUUUUGGCACUAGCCAGCUUAAUGGGUGUGGAAUCUUCCUCCUUCAAUAGUGAAUUUAACCCAUUCAUGUUUAAUAUAGUUACUGAUUCUUGAUAUCUUAUUUUAGGUUUUUUUAUUUAUGUCUCCCCCCUUUUAUUUUUGCCCCACUUGUGACAUGUGCAAGUUCCCAGGCCAGGGUCUAAAUCCACACCACAGCAGUGACCUGAGCCACUGCAGUGAUGUCAAAUCCUUAACCCACUGCCCCACAAGGGAACUCCCUACAUCACUUUAACUUUUCUAUUUGUAUUGAAUAAAAUGAUCUUUUUCUUUUUGAUCUCUGCCUUCCCCUUACCCAUAAUUUGGAAAGUUAUGCAUACUAUUCCUAUUCUUAUAUUGACAGUCCUUUUUUUUUUCUCUUUAGGGCUGUACCCACAGUAUAUGGAGAUUCCCAGGCUAGGAGUCUAAUCAGAGCCACAGCUGCCAGCCUAUGCCACAGCCACAGCAAUGCCCAAUCUGAACUGUGUCUGCAACCUACAGCAUAGCUCACGGCAAUGCUGGAUCCUUAACCUGCUGAGCAAGGCCAGGAAUCAAACCCAAAACCUCAUUGUUCCUUGUUGGAUUUGUUCCUGUUGCACCACAACAGGAACUCCAGACAGUCCUUAAUUUUAUUAGCACCACGCUCUAACCAACUGAGCUAACUGACCCUUGCCUAGACAGUCCUUAAUUUUAACACUAUUUUUAAAAGCUUAUAUUUACUGAAUACUUAUAUUCCAGACCCUCUGCAAACCAUUGAACAGGUCUCAGUAAUUAAGGGAAGUGAGGGAAUAUAGGAACAGAGGAAAAGUAGUCAAGCAACAAUUAGAGAUAAAAGAGUCUUAGUUCAUCCUCAAGGAAUAUAUAUAACAACCUGACACACGUCUUUGCCGUCUGCAGAAACCAAAGCCCACAACCAGGUGGAGGAGGGAAUGAUGGUGUCGACCUUGACUUCAAUCGCAUGUAGCUUGGACUCCAUUGACCUUCACCUCAAUUCUCUGCAGACUUC